UUUUCGCCUGAAUAAAAGAGGAUGAGCACCGCCGAAGGCGGUUUGCGCCGGGCGUCAGCGAGACAACGUUGCGAACGCAACGGCCCGAAGGGCGCGUCCCGCAGGGGCGCGUAAUCCUCUCUCGCCGACCA
rnacentral:sRNA from 1 species